UGAAAGGAUAGAUGAAUGAAAGGUUUCGUAACUGACAGACGUUAGAUAUAUUAUGAUAUUAGUCAAUAUCUAAUUAAAGAAUGAAAACGAUAUAUUUCGGUGUAGCAGUUUGUUUAAUUUUCAAUGGAAUUGAUACUUCGAUAUCAUCAUGUCGAACAAAUGUAGCUGCGUUCAGACCUUCGACGGAAUUCGUAUUACCUGUAAAGACAAAGGACUGACUGCUAUUCCACCAUUCUUUCCAAGUAAUUCAUA